CAUCCAAAUUCAACACUGGUCCGAAGAUUAAACAUACUCAGGGACCGGAGAUAUUCAGUCUAAUAAAUAGACUACAAUUAAAUUUAGAAGAAAUAAAUUGUGAUUAGAAGUCAAUUUUUUGUAUAUAUCACCGUAUUUAAGACAAUGAUUUGAAGCAUCAAAAAGCACUUAAAUUACUUAUGAUUCAUUUUUAGUGCUAAUUGCUCGGACAACUAUUUGGAGCUUACACCACCCUAACGUGGUAGACUUGGCAAUUGUACGGCUGCAUACCCUUCCUUCUAAACUUCCUCUUCGUUACAAGCUUUUUCAUCUUUUCAUAAAUCUAAAUUAUGAGGAAAAUGGCCAUAUCAAGUAUUACUUAAUAUUGAGGAAAUUGAGGGCCAGUGACUCAUAUUCGUGUGUAACAAUGCAAGAAAUAUUUAUAAUUCCAC